GCAUGGAAUGAUAGAAUAGGACCUCGGUUCUGUUUGUUGGUUAUCGGAGGCAGAGGUAAUGAUUAAUAGGGACGGACGGGGGCAUUCGUAUUGCGAUGAUAGAGGUGAAAUUCUGUGACCAUCGCUAGACGAACUACUGCGAAAGCAUUUGCCAAGAAUGUUUUCAUUAAUCAAGAACGAAAGUUAGAGGUUCGAAGACGAUUAGAUACCGUCCUAGUUCUAACUAUAAACUAUGCCAACUGGGAAUCCGCCGAUUGCUUCUUCAGGCUUGGCGGGCACCCUGCGGGAAACCAAAGUGAACAGGUUCCGGGGGGAGUAUGGUUGCAAAAUCGAAACUUAAAGGAAUUGACGGAGGGGCACACCAGAAGUGGAGCCUGCGGCUUAAUUUGACUCAACGCACGAAAGCUUACUCGGUCCGAACACCAUGAGGAUUGACAGGUUGACAGCUCUUUCUUGAUUUGGUGGGUGGUGGUGCAUGGCCGUUCGUAGUUGGUGGAGUGAUUUGUCUGGUUUAUUCCGAUAACGAACGAGACUCUAGCCUAUUAAUUAGAGUGGUGAUACACUCAUGUCACUGCUGUUACUUCUUAGAGGGACAGGUGUUGCAUAGACACACGAAGUGGAGCAAUAACAGGUCUGUGAUGCCCUUAGAUGUUCGAGGCCGCACGCGCGCUACAAUGUCAGAAUCAGAGAGUUCCCGGUUCGAUAGAAUCGGGAAAUCUGAAAUAGCUUUCAUGAUUGGGAUCGGAGAUUGUAAUUAUUUUUCGUGAAAGAGGAAUUCCUAGUAAACGCGAAUCAUCAUUUCGCGUUGAUUAAGUCCCUGCCCUUUGUACACACCGCCCGUCGCUACUACCGAUUGAAUGGCUUAGUGAGAUCUGUGGAUAGGCGGCAACGGUGGUAAAACACUCGUUGCGUGCUCUAGAAGCUGACCGAACUUAACCAUUUAGAGGAAGUAAAAGUCGUAACAAGGUUU
rnacentral:rRNA from 1 species